UCCGAAGGUCCAGAGUUC
rnacentral:piRNA from 1 species